CCCCACAGCCUGCCCUGUCUCUAUGCUCUCCUAGAGGUCUGAGCAGCGAGGCACUGAAGCAGCAAGUCACACCGCCAUCACACACCCUGCGAGCUGGACGGGGAAACCUUUCCUGUUUCACAAUCAUAGCAACAGAAAGAAAGCCCUUGCUUGGGCUGCUCUCCACCACUUAGAGGUCUCUUGAACACUCUUCCCACUUUGACUUCUUUCCUCUGUGCCCUUUUCUCUAAUUCAUAAGCACUGAUCAGCUAAUAAGCUGUCCCUCUCAAACAACAUAUUCUAUUUCCAGUAGGCUUUUCUGGAGCCAUUAUUCCUUAAUCCAAAGACAUUACUGGAACAUCAGAUAUCUCCUGAAGUGUGUUGUUUCAGUAUGAUGUGCAUUUUGGUUAGCCUGGCCAUUCAGUCUCUGCAAUUCAUUGCAAUGCAUUGCUUGUCUCAGUCACCUAAGCUGGCGGGAAUAAUUGUAUGUCUCUAGGGAGAUGGUAGCUCCCUAUCUUUUCCCACCAUCUUCUAGAAGAGUUCAGAGGAGAAGAUAUAUCUUACUUAUCACAAGGCUACUAAACUUAUAAGUAGCCAACCCUUUGUACAGAAAACACCCCAGAUGUUUCCAAGUGAAUCUUGGGAAGUGAGCAUUUAGGAGGCUCUGUUUGAUCUAUGAACACUCAUAAUACUUUGACUUUCUCUGACCCUAUAAAUAAUACAGCUCUGGUAGAUAAGCCGAACAACCCUGGGAAAAGCUCUCGAGGUCUUCGUGGGAGCUUUGAAAGGACGCGGGGCAGCACGGCUUCCUUUCCUACAGCCAUUGUGCUCCCGGGGCUCUCCCGUUGAUAUCUGCCACUACAAACAAGCUGAGUUUCCUGGAAAAAAUGUCAAGCUCCCUGUAGAAGAGGUCCGAAGCAGGGUUCUUCACUGUGCUGUCUUUCUAUGUACUGUUUGGUUUGUCUUCUAGGAUAACAGAAGUUCAAGAGGAAAGGACAGUGAGAGACCAUGACUAAAGAAUUACUCCGUGAACAACUCAGGAGGACCAGCUAUGAUUUCACUCUCAUUCAAAAAAGAGAAAUAAUAUUUCUUUCAGCUGCUACCCAUAAAAUAUUUUUGAAUGUGUGUACAAUGUUCAUGCUGUAAUGGCUGCUCUAUCAUGAAGGAUGUGUUGACACCUCGUGGGUGGCUUUUCACAAUCCCCUUGGACACAGAUUGGGGGAUUGACGGCCCCAUCCCCUCAUUUUCCACACCAAGGGGCAGUUGGGAUAUGCGUAAAAUCUUGUUCUCUAGUUAGGACCUGUUGCUAUAAAUCUAGCAUCAAGAGUAUCACUAUUUUCUAAACACUUUGCCAGACAGCCUUCGGAGUAUAAUUUUCUGAAGUUUAUAAAGCAUAACUCAUACACACACCUAGUGACCAUGUUCUGAAGGUAUAUUUAACUCCUGCAUGAGGGAACAGGCAGGAUGAAAGUGGGUUCUAAGGAAGAGACUAGCAUAUAUGAUCAACGGAGAAAAAUGAAGAGUAAGCUUGAAACCGCCUUUGCAAAAAUUAUAACCGAGGAGAUUAUGACAGUGAAGGAGAUCAGACCUAACCGACCCCAUCUUGCUUCUAACCUUUAAGCUGUCCUUGUUCAUUCCUGGGUGUAGGCCGAACUAACUUUGGGAAGGAAUUUGUUCGUGGUUUGACUCUGAAACAAAAAAAUUGAUAAUAGCCCUUUCCCGAAAAGACCGCCUUCUUGCCUGGGGACCAGUCUGCCUUUGCAGGACUAACAAAUUAACUACGAGAUUAGAAAUUACAGUUUAGGGGUCCUGCAGCCUCUGACUCCAAGAGUCAGACCCUCCCCACAUUGCUUCUGGGGAUAACAUCACUAUUAUAAAACCUAAGAUCAGUGCUUGAGAUAUUUUGCAGACCCUGCACUGGAUGGAUCAGCUGACACCACCCAGACCCGUAAUCUGGAUCAACCAGUUCUGCCAUCCCACCCAAGAACAGAAGAUGCAAGAAAAACUCACUUUGACCCUCUAUGAUUCCAUCUCCAACCUGACCAAUCAGUACUCCCCACUUCCCAAGCCCCUGCCUGCCAAAUUAUCUUUAAAAACUCUGAUCCCCGAAUGCUUGGAGAGGCUGAUUUGAGUAACAACACAACUCUGGUCUCCUGCACAGCCAGUUCUGUGUGAAUUACUCUUCGUCCAUUGCAAUUCCCCUGUGUUGAUAAAUUGGCUCUGUCGAGGCAGUGGGCAAGGUGAACCCACUGGGCAGUUACAAGACUGCAAAGUUAGAAACAAAACUGGCAAUGCCCCAUGGGUCAAAAAUAAUCAAUUAAUUCAUAACAUUUGACUUGAUUAAGUUUUCUACUGGACAGAAACAAUUUGCAACUUAUCCUUCCUCUACAUUGUUUGACUGCCAUGUCAAUUGUAAGUAUUAGAUCAAAUUUUAAAAUAAUUAUUUUAGAGCUUCAGAUGCACCUUACAUGGGCUUGUUAGAUUGUUAGACACUGCUUAGUGACAUUGAAAGAGCCCACAAUACUUUUUUUGCCUUAUUUCUAAGUUGUGGGUAUCCUUUUCUUAACACUUCUUUUCUGUGAUUCUAUGCAAGACAAUCAUUGAUGAAAUGGGAUUUUCUGGAUGGGAAGUCCGUGUACUUUACUGAAACCUCUUUCUACAGUUCUGUCUUUCAAGUGGGAUUCUGUGAGCUGACUCAUGACAGCUGAGCAUCAUCGGAGAUUGGCUUCAAUGGUCCUCAAUGUGCAGAACGUAAAUAGCAAUUUCUACCAUCAUUCAAUAGCAUUUGUGGGUCCUUUUAUAUGGAGUAUAUAAAAGUAUUUGCAGGUCUUGGUUUAUCUGUCCCCACGUGACAUACCUAUAGAACAGGUAUUUUCAUCCCAGCUACUUAUUAUAAAUAUUUAAUAAGUAGGCUAAUGGUUUGGAAUUCUAUUUCUCUAUUUGCAUGAGUCAAAUAAUAGACCAAAUUCUUUCAAAAAGAGGAGAUGUUAACAUACCAAAAGAAACUGAAACAAGAGCAUUGAACCCACGGUGCCCUUCAGAAACACCUGCCAACAAUGGGGCAGAGUGUCCAGCUGCCUGGACAGUGUGUGCAGGGGCGGGGCCCUUCCUGUUCACAAUGGCUUUGCCUGGCAGUUAAAAUGCAAAUGGAGGGCAGACUGAGAGUGCAUCACCCUCUCACAUCUCAGAGUCUAAAAGGCGGCCUUUCAGUGCCUUCUGUUCAAAUUGCAAAUGCUCUUCCUUUAUCCCCCAAGGCCUGGGAGACAGUUCUGAAUAAUUCUUCCCCAACAAAUUGGCUUUCCUCUUACCAGCAACAAAAGCCCUUAUUGGUUUUAAAAGUGCAAAGAACAAAUUUUAUUCAAGGGUCUUAAGGCAGAUGAAGGUUCACAGAAACUACAAGGGCAGUUCCAGAGCCUCCAUGUACGACCGUGUCCCUAUAACGACUGGUCCUUAUAAGAGGCCAGCAACAGUAUCUUAUUUUCCUGUACAGGCCUGGGAUUCCCAGUAAUUUCUUUGCAUUGGCUUUGUAAGCACAAUUACUCAGAGUUUCCGAGAAUUGGGACAUUUCCAAGAAAUUGCCCAAUGGGUCAGUGGAGUGCUGUCAAAUGAGAUGGACCAUCUUAAAAUCAAAACGUGGGUGGUUUCUGCUCAUUGCUGAGCAUUUCACUUCCAUUCUGAAAAGUCUAAGAACGUCACUCCAGGAGAUACAAUGUCAAGGGCUCCCGCCACUCUUCAUCAUUGCCCAAGUCAUAAGAAUCAUCCCCCAAAUUCCUUCUAUUUCUCCAAGGUAGGGUAACCCAGGGCUGGGUAAGCCUGUUAGGGCAGGUCAGGUUGGCACAUACAGAGGAGGAACUCAGACAGACAGACAGCGCCAGGGGACCAGCGGCACUGUGUGCUCAUCACCACCCUCAGGGAUUCAAGGGCCUUGUCCUGGUACCUGGGUCACCUUCUGAAAUAAGUGCUACUGAGGUUCAUGGCCAAGACCCUUCCAGGAAAUUCAGAAGGAGGUUGGCUUCAGUGGGAAAGUAGUCUGUGACCCAGAAGGUGUUUAUUCAACAAGGUGCAAGCUGACAACAUGUUUCUUUGCUCUGGACACUGGAAUUAAACUCCUAAGAGACCCUAUUCUUUUCUGAUGACUGCUUCUUUGGAAAUGGUACAGCUUGGAUUUUCAGGGCAAGAAACUCAUGUUUUCUUGGCUCGCUGAACUGAAUAACAAAAGAAACAGACAUGGGGACCUGCCUGCAGCCUAAAGUUGGUUGUCAAAAGAAAUAAUUAGAAGAGAAAAGUGCUUCUUCAAUUUUUAACCAUCCAACUGAUCCCACGUGUCCAGCUCUUCCCUAGGCAGGGGAGAUCACAAGGACUUUAUUACCUGUGCUCUCAGGGUAAUGAGGCUUUUGUCCUGCUCACCCACAGCCUCCAAUGGUCAGGUCAAGGCCCCACCUCUUCAGCUUCUCAGCUACCACUCCCUCAGCUGCAGUCCUGCCCUGGGUAGGAGGAGUUGUAUAGGAUGGGCCAACUGUCUUGUUUUGCUUUGUGCACACACCUGGCCAAGGUGGUGGUCUGCUUUCUGCUCAGGGUCUCAUGAGUGUUCCAUGAACUCACAUCCAUCAAUCUCUGGCCAUCAAGACUCAAACAAGCCCCUCAGGUUGGCAGAGAUUGGGGAACCGACCUCAUGUCAUCCCCCCCAUUUUCCACAUUACCUCCAGUUGAGAAUUUUAGCCCCCAUGAUCAGAUGGGUGAGAAAUAGCCCGUCUUCAUUUUCUUCAAAUUAGCCUGACUCUGACUCCACAGGUCCCACCCACCAGGCAGGAGAGGACUGAGCCUCAUGGCUACUGGCCCUUCCCCAUCUUUCGAGGCUUCCUCUUGCCCCCUCCGGAGAAGGGCCUUAGACAUUCCACCAUUAUGUGUGUGGUCUGGCAGCUUUCUGCCCUAUGCUCCUGUGGAGCUGGGAGCCUUGGACAAGACAGAGUGUCUGAUGCCGAGACCUCAGCCUUUUAAAUGUACUCACGGGUGCUGAGGAGGCCUGGCCUCCUCCUGGGGAUGCAGACAGGGAGCGAGACGCAGGUAACCCCUGCCCACAGGCUCCGUGAACCUCAGAUCUGUUCUCAAUCCAAGAAACACAAUUCCACUUCCCCUUCACCUCUCUCACUCCGGGAAACUUUGCACUACCUUUUCAAUGGGCUUAAAAGAGUGGAGGAAAAAUUGUCUUCAGACAACUUUAAACAGUUUUAAAACAGAAAAUUUACUUACAGGGACUCCCUAGAUGUUAGAAGAAAGCUCCAGGUAGCUGCAGGUAGCUAGGAAGUAGGAAGAGCCCACCUCUUCUUGGAAUGGGGAAGAACACACAUGAACUCUUAUCUCAUGAAAUCCAAUAGUCAAAUAUGACAUGGUUUGUGUGAGUGAAAAGACCCCAGAAUAAGACCACCUGGGUGAGCCAGUGCCUGGUGGUCUCAAAGCAUCCCCCUCCUCCCAUCCACCCCUGCUCUGCCCUGUAUCAUGGGGGGUCUGGCCUCUGCAGGCUAUGAGCCCUGGGUUCCUGUGUCUCUGGCUUCUGACUGGGUUGGACCAAUGAGAAGCCUGGAGGGACAUGGGUGUGUACAGGAGUCUGGGUGGGCUUCUUGACUCUGUUUGUUGGGCUGUCUUGCCUGGAGGCUCUUUCCUUCUACAAGCCAGCUCCUGCCACAGAGACCCACCCUGGUUCCAGCUUCCCUUCAGUGAGUCUGAUUCCUGGGCUCUGAUAACUGCCUCCUUCCUUGUGCAUCUGAGAGGUGGUAGCCACUUCCUGAUGCUGUGGACACCAGGGUUGCCUCAAUGUCCCUUGUCUGACGUUUUGGCUCUUCUACCAUCUAGGAAGUCCCUGUAAUUAAAUUUUCUCUCUUAUAAAACUUAGGAUGACUGUUUAUCCUCACUGGGUCCUGACUUAGUCACUUACUACUGUGUGGUUGUGGUCAAGCUUCUUUCUCCUGCUAUGUUCAGUUUCCUCAUCUGGAAAGUGGGAUAAUAAUGGGUUCUUCCUUAGAGAACUCACCCCAGAGUGAGUUAAAUAAGAUAAUACUGAGAGUUUGUUACUUGGAACUCACACAGUAAAUGGUAGUUCUUGGAGUCUGUACCAGAGGGUCCUGAGGUGUGGGCUGAGGGUGAUCUUUGGUGGUGCCUGUUCACUGGAUUCAACAACUGCCAAUCACAGAGUGAGGAAGUUGUUCACUUUUCAGGUGGUUCUGUUUUUUUCUGUCUCUCUUCUUCUGGAUACAAUAAAAGCUGCUCUCUGUUCCUAGUAUGUCUUUAGAACUUGGAGUCUCCAUGACCACGGGAGAAAGAGCAGGUCUCAGACUGAGGAAGUAGGACCCAACAGCAUUGUUCUGUUUACAUGGAAUUUGCUUUUACAGCCAAAUUCUACUGAUGGCAAAUGAUACAGUUUUCCAUUUCUGGAGGUGAUAAAAAGUUCUUUUAAUAAUGAAUUCAUUUAAGUUUUUUGGUUUUUUUUUUGGUUUUUUUUUUUUUUUUAAAAAAAAGAUCGACUUGGAAAAACAGAAGUAAAAGAGUGCAGUUGGGAGGAGCUUGAUGACCUGAGCUUAGAAGGCCUUUCCUGCAGACGUGCUCUGGGGCUAGUGGGUUGAAUCAGGACACAGAACAACAAAGACAGUUUCUGCCUUCAAGGAGUGCAUGGUUCUCAGCCAAAUUCAACAGGAAUAAUAUGACAGAACAUAAUUAAAUAGCAAGUAAUUUGUUACAGAUGCAAAUUCUGCAAAAGUUCAAAGACACAUGGGCCAAUGGGGUCAGGAGAAGGCGGGAUGGAGGAGGCGACUUAACAGGAGAGAUUCCCGGUGGUGGGCACAGGUGCAGAGAAACGGGGACCUGGAUUAGGGGAGCAAAGGAGAGCUAGUGUGACGGUGUGGCAAAAAUGGGUUUUGAGUUUCUGGAGUAGAGAUCCAGGUCGGUGUCAGAGGUGCUGGGGGUUCUGGGAAGGAAAAUGAUGACAAGUUGAGGACAGGAAACGUGGAGUUCUGCAUCAUUAAGCGUCAGUUUCACGGGAUGAUGUAGUCCUCGCAGAAUCGUUUUUGGCUGUGGUGUGCAGGAGGGGUCUGCGGCUGAGCCACUGCAGAAGGACUGGCCAGCUGGGAGGCUGGGAGGCAGAUGCUGUAACCCUGGUGUGACCCUGUCCCUGCAGAGAGAGAGCCAGGGAAGGGGCCAGGUGAGCAGGGCCAGGGGGCAGCAGCACCAUCAUCCAGGGCACUCAGGGGUUAAAGCCUCAUCUGGGGACACAGUGAGGAGCUGAUCCGGGAAGGAAGAGGCUACAUAGUUCAUAUCAGACCAUGCACACACACACACACACACACACACACACACAAACACACACACACCAGAGAUCCAACUCUUCCUACAGUUUCUCACCAAGAAAGGUCAUGGCUGGGUUGAAGAAAGUGAGGCAGGAGUGUUUUCCUUGCAAGGAACUUUUGUGUGAAGAGGUCUCUCCCAAGGGUGCUCAUAUCAGGCAAAAGGUUCUGUCUGGGAUCGCUGAUCCAUCUGAUCUCCGUCCUGCAGGAGCCUUGCUCUUCCUCAUGGAGACGCGUUUGCAUCUAGAGGGAAAAUUGUGAGUAAAAGCCAUUACUACAAAAUGCACAUGUGGAUUCCACCGUGGAAAAGUGGGGAGCCCGGGGCCGGGCACAGCAUCCGAAAUGAAGGUGUGUCACAGGACAGUCGCAUGCUCAGGCUGCCUCAACAGAGAAAUAGGUGAAGGAGAGCAUUUCUCUUUCCACAACUGACAAGAAUUCUGUCUUAACGUGAACUGUUUUUGUUGUUGUUGUUGUUGUUUUUUGUUGUUUUUUAUUUGAGACGGAAUCUCACUGCGACACUCAGGCUGGAGUGGAAUGGCACGAUCUCGGCUCACCGCAACCUCUGCUUCACUUCCCAGGUUCAAGCAAUUCUCCUGCCUCAGCCUCCCAAGUAGCUGGGAUUACAGAAACUAUAAACAUUGAAAGGAAUGCUGGGGCCUCCAAAAUCUGCGAUUACAUUUCUCGUAAAUGGCAACUCAUUGUCAUCCUGCAGACAUGGAUUAAACCACAGGAUGGGGUCUGAACAUGGAACACUUGCAGGUUAACAGCAACAACAUCCACUCCAACAGAAUCACCCCCGUCACAGUGAGCAAUGAGCAAAAACAUGGCUCAGAAACAGUUUCCCCAGAUGUUCAAUAAAGGACAUUUAAAUGAGACAUUUACCAUCUGGUUAAUAACAUAGCAUUGAGUGGGACUUGGUAACAAUAUCCCAAUACGUAAGCUUUUAAAAUCAGUUCUUUUCCCUGAGCAUAAAACUGCUUCUCCAUCUGCCCUAUGAAAACAGGCGAUAAAUAAAUGUUUGUUCAACCUCA